CGCACGGGUGAGUAACACGUAUCCAACCUGCCGUCUACUCUUGGACAGCCUUCUGAAAGGAAGAUUAAUACAAGAUGGCAUCAUGAGUCCGCAUGUUCACAUGAUUAAAGGUAUUCCGGUAGACGAUGGGGAUGCGUUCCAUUAGAUAGUAGGCGGGGUAACGGCCCACCUAGUCUUCGAUGGGUAGGGGUUCUGAGAGGAAGGUCCCCCACAUUGGAACUGAGACACGGUCUAA
rnacentral:rRNA from 1 species